AUGGAAUCCACUACAGCCCUUAAAACCAUCACUCUUGGUCAACAGAGUUGUAAGGUAUUUGGACGACUCUUACGCCUAUGGGAUGCAAUAAACAUGAAAUCCAAGUUUGCAGAUCCUCUCAUCAGCAUUGAUGGUGUCCUUUUAGAUGAAGAUGGCAAUAUGGCGCAGAUUAGUGUACCGAAAAAAUUCAAAGAUUUCCGCCCCUUACUCACAAAAGGACAUAUCUACAUCUUUAAUGAUAUUGCAGCCAUUGAUAUAAAAAACAAAACCCAUAUAUAUCACCACCAAAACUAUAUGUUGCAAUUCAAGCACAUCACUAAGGUUCACCGACUUGAAACCAGAGGAACAAAUAUACCCAAGUUUUCCUUCAAUUUUUGUCCAUUUGAUAAUCUACCAGAAAAAGAUACUUUUGUAAAACCACUUCAAGAUAUAAUAGGAGUCAUUAGCCACGUUGGGCCAUUUGAUUAUGCAAGUCAGACAUCUACAAAUAAACUCAGGAAAAUCAAAAUUCGAAACCUAGAUGAACAGACACAAGAAAUACGUCUUUGGGGCCACCAUGGUGAAACAUUUGAUGAAGAAGUUGUACUCAAAAAAUCACAAGAAGGCAUUGUAGUUGGCAUUUUUGCGGGUCUCACAACUGGGAGCUUUCUAGGUAACUGCUCAAAUAUUCUAUCUUAA
rnacentral:rRNA from 1 species